rnacentral:rRNA from 1 species
UACGUAGGGUGCGAGCGUUAAUCGGAAUUACUGGGCGUAAAGCGUGCGCAGGCGGUUCGUCGUGUCCGAUGGUGAAAGCCCCGGGCUCAACCUGGGAAUGGCAUUGGAAACUGGCGGACUCGAGUGUGGCAGAGGGGGUGGAAUUCCGCGUGUAGCAGUGAAAUGCGUAGAGAUGCGGAGGAACACCGAUGGCGAAGGCAGCCCCCUGGGCUAACACUGACGCUCAGGCACGAAAGCGUGGGGAGCAAACAGG